rnacentral:lncRNA from 1 species
CAUUUCAGCGUUGUGACUCCGUUAAGAACAAUAUAAAGUUGGACUGGGUCAGUAGAUCAGUGGGACAAAUGUGAAGACACCUCCUCCAAACGUGUCCUCCUUUUCUGUGGACCUGGUGGAUCCCCACUGGCCCGCUCUAGCCCAGCAUCGUCGCAGGCAAACAGGAUUCAAGAUUCAAGUACUUGUUUGUCAUCGCACACGUGUACCAUGACGUGGGCUUCGUGCUCACUGAAGACAGCUCACGUUAGAGGUAGUGAAGUAAAACAACAAGGCUAAAACAUCUCUCACUCACUCACUCACUCACUCACUCACUCACUCACUCACUCACUCACUCACUCACUCACUCACUCACUCACUCACUCACUCACAGAGCAAGUGUUAGUUUGUUGAACUCUGGUGGCACGAAGAUGAAAAGCUGAGGUCAGUCGUGUUGUCCGGCGUUUGUUGGGUGGCGCUAAAGCUGCUGUAGCUCCUCCAGCAGAAGAUCAGUAAUUAAUAAGCCUUCAUUUUCUCUUUGUUCUGUUUAGAAUCUCAUGGUUGCUAGGCAACAGGACACAUGUCAAGGUAAAGGUGGGAAAAAAUCGGAAGUCAAUUCAAUUUCACAGCUGCUCACUUCUGGUCUUCACCGUCGAUGAAGGAUCUGACCUACGUGGACCAGGUUGAGUCCUACCGCUCUUGAAUUUGGACCCAGCUGAAUCUGAUUACUCUAAACCAGAACCUGAUGGGACUGAGACUACUAGAUGAAUAUUCUGGAACAUGUCUGGGCUCUGCUUUUCACCCAUCUGGACCUCCUUGUGAACAGGUCUGGAAAAUGGUGAGUACUACAGCUUGUUGCCAUGGUAACCUGUGAACUGAUGAGUAGAGAGAGAGGACAUGUCAGAACUGGUAUGAAGGAGACUCAAAAUAGUAGCUAAGCUGAUCAGACGCUGUUCUGUUGGUGUGCUGAUGACUCAAAGCAAAGAAAAUCAGAUGUUGCUUUUGCACAAUCAGGCUGAGGAGGAGCCCCAAGUGUUAAAUGACUGUUCACCCUGUCAUCAGCAUGUUU